GGUGAAAUGCGUAGAGAUCUGGAGGAAUACCGAUGGUGAAGGCAGCCUUCUGGCCUAACACUGACGCUGAGGUGCGAAAGCAUGGGGAGCAAACAGGAUUAGAUACCCUGGUAGUCCAUGCCGUAAACGAUGUCUACUAGCCGUUGGGGGACUUGAUCCUUUAGUGGCGCAGCUAACGCAUUAAGUAGACCGCCUGGGGAGUACGGUCGCAAGACUAAAACUCAAAUGAAUUGACGGGGGCCCGCACAAGCGGUGGAGCAUGUGGUUUAAUUCGAUGCAACGCGAAGAACCUUACCUGGCCUUGACAUGUCUGGAAUCCUGUAGAGAUACGGGAGUGCCUUCGGGAAUCAGAACACAGGUGCUGCAUGGCUGUCGUCAGCUCGUGUCGUGAGAUGUUGGGUUAAGUCCCGCAACGAGCGCAACCCUUGUCCUUAGUUGCCAGCACGUAAUGGUGGGAACUCUAGGGAGACUGCCGGUGACAAACCGGAGGAAGGCGGGGACGACGUCAAGUCAUCAUGGCCCUUACGGCCAGGGCUACACACGUGCUACAAUGGUCGGUACAGAGGGUUGCUAGCCCGCGAGGGUACGCUAAUCUCACAAAGCCGAUCGUAGUCCGGAUUGGAGUCUGCAACCCGACUCCAUGAAGUCGGAAUCGCUAGUAAUCACG
rnacentral:rRNA from 1 species